rnacentral:lncRNA from 1 species
GAACGCCCGUCCAGAAGCGGCUUCCUGGCCGCGGCGCCUUCUGGGAGUUGUAGUGCAGAAGCUGAGGCGCCUGGUGGGUUCCCACGUGCGUCCUCCGCCCCCCACCCUCGGUUUUAAUAACCGUGAAAAAAAAAAAAAAAAGAUGCGUUUCCCGAACGUGGGUACUUAGCAAUACCUAGUAACUAAUGAUUUUUUGGGAAAUUAAAUAAGAUCAAAUUAUAAGCAAUGAACAUUUCAGAUGUCGAUUUAACACAGUUCCAAUGGAAACUGCUUGCCUGUUAUCUUUAGUUCGUGGGGGAAGCACUGUAGAAGUUUAGAAAUGGCUAGAGACAUCCCCAGAUUCCCAAGCAGAAUGAAAACUUCCUUUCCGGAAAACACAAAAUGUUCUCCCACAUCACACCCCGCCUGCAUUUAUCAAAAAAGAAAACACCUGAUGCUGGCUGUGUGCUGUUGGAACCAGAAACUUUUUA